CAAUACACAGUUUCAAAAAUUUGAAAGAGGGUUGUUAUAUUAUUAUUAUUGGUACAGAUUACUUCACAACUAUUGACUGGUUGUAGAAGAAUAUUAUAAAGAAAACAUUUAAAUUCUUUCAGCUUAUAUAUAUAUAUAAAUACUUGCUGGGCACUCAAAUGCUCAUCCUUGCUUAAUUUAAAUGUUUUCAGCUAAGUGUGAAA
rnacentral:lncRNA from 1 species